rnacentral:lncRNA from 1 species
CUUUCUAUAGUCUGCGGUCAGUUACCGGUCUUUCUAUAGUCUGCGGUCAGUUACCGGUCUUUCUAUAGUCUGCGGUCAGUUACCGGUCUUUCUAUAGUCUGCGGUCAGUUACCGGUCUUUCUAUAGUCUGCGGUCAGGUACCGGUCUUUCUAUAGUCUGCGGUCAGGUACCGGUCUUUCUAUAGUCUGCGGUCAGGUACCGGUCUUUCUAUAGUCUGCCGUCUGUUACAAGUCUUUCUAUAGUCUGCGGUCUGUUACCGGUCUUUCUUUAGUCUGUGGUCUGUUACUGGUUUUUCUAUAGUCUGCGGUUUGUUACCGGUCUUUUUAAUGUUAGUAGUGCGUUUCAAAAUCUGUCCCUCUUUCUAUAGUCAGCGGUCUCUAAUGUCCUCACCUAGAGUUUUCCGAGUUGGGUUUGGUGUAACCGUCUGUACAAUGCUCCCACACAGCAUUUGCCAGACUGUUCCCAAUUGCCAUCAUGACCAUUGUUAGUUCCACUGGCCAGUCGUCGAGAUCAAGGGAGCGAACACGAGAUAGGUGAGUCCCAAGGUUACGGUGAAUCCCUGAACAUUCGAUGCACAUCAGCGCACCAAGAUUUAGGCUGGCCCAAUCUGGAUCUACAAUGCAGUAUUACAUGAUGUUAAUAGUAUAUCUGUCAAAGUCUGUAAAACAAAGUGAUUAACAUACCAAAUAACAGAAGAUAGAGAGAAGGUAAAUUGUAUUGCAAGAGAGGGAAUCUCAUAUUUCUGAAACCUUUAUUUAAUUAACCACAAUAGCAGCAAAGAAAUAAUACACACACAGAACUAAAAUCAUACAGGGAUACCAUGAACCAAUCCUGACACAGUACCCUGUACCAGACCAAGCACCACCCAUAGUACUUACUCCUUAUUUGCUCCUCAGUUGAGUUAGGAACCAGUGUGCUGUGCUCCAAUUGUGGAUUAUUGUUAUACAUUGCAGUUUUAAUGUGUAGUUUUCUAAUUAGAUUGCUCCUUUGUGUCUGCUCUCCUGGAUCCCAGAACCUGUCUGCUCACUGAGUGGCUCUGUAUGCUCCCAGCGCAGCCCUGCGUGCUCCCAGUCUGUGAGCUGCCAUUUUCCCUUCAUGUUCUUUCCCUUUUGGGUCUUUUGUCUCCUGUAGCUAGGGCCUAGCUUGGAGAUGUGAUCUGUUAGUGAUUUUCUUGGGUUCAUGCUCCAUCAGUUUGGUAUAUUUUAGGUUUGAUUGUUGAGCCCAUACUGUUACCCAGGCCUAUGGUGUCGGUCUUUCCCCCUUUUUCUAGAGAUGUUGAGGUUCCCCUUCCCUUGAUGUCUUUCCCGAAUAUUGGGGAGCCCACUGGAAACUCGGGGCAGGGGUUAUCCUAAAUCUGUUACGGAUGCUAUCAUGGCCGUCAUUGGGUCUAUGUCAUCAGCCCUCUCCCAGACGGAUGAUCUUCAUCACUUCAUCAACCGGGGUCUCCGGGACACUUGGUUAGGCAUUCUCUUAGCAAGGCUGCCCAAGGCAAAUACAAAUUGCCUUGCCAUGAUCCAGUAUAAGGUUUGUGGACCCUAGGCCUAGUUCUUGUCCAAGUUGGUUGGAAUCCCUGUAAGGGUUUGGAAUUGGCAAACCCUUACCAUGCCAGGAUAAACACCUGGAUAUAUUUAGAUGCCUUACUAAAUUAUUCAAGUUGGCCGAUAAGACCAAGGGCAAUGGCCAACCAGUUGGUCCAGAAGCUAUGUGUGGGUGCGUUCAGAGACCGGCUUGCAUCGCUGGGAAUAAUACACCUUGCUAUUGAACAGUGCAAUUUCCUCUUAUUUAAGAUUGAGCCUAAAUUGGUAAAUCUGUCCCUCACUUAAGCCGGCAAGGAGGCCAAUGGUCUCCUUUUAGGGGAUAGUUUCAUUAAAGACUUGGGUAACUUUUAGGGAGCCUUCCUGGCUCUAGCUAAGGCCCAGUCCUUUAUGCAGUGGGUUUUCACAACUGUGUCUCUACUAGCUCUGGCAGACCAAGCUGCCGCAGCUCUACAGAUUACACUUAUUCGGGCUGAAGCUCUUUUCCUCAUCACGCCUAGCAGGACAACCAGCCUGUGUCGCCUUUCUUCCCAAUGAGAGGUCUCCCAUGGCUCCAGGGGAGAUUUUGGAUCCAGGCGUACUGUCGGUAAGGCCAACUUUCCCUCGGGCUUGUUCCCCACCACCUGUACGGGGAAGACGGUCAUAUUCCCACGCCUGGCAAGACAAAACCUCAGAUGUGUGGGUUCUCAGUCUCCUCUAUCCCUUUCACCUCGUUUUCUCUUCAGGAUUGAGUUCUCAUAGACACAGAACUUGCUGCUCUUCAGGACAAAACGAUGUUCAAACGGGCUUCUCUAUCAGGCUUGGGCUUUAUCAGCAACUUCUUCCUGGUUCAAAAGAAGGGAGACCAGAUGAAACUGGUGGUACACCUGUGCUCCCUGAAUGCAUUAGCCCGCUACCGUUACUCAAUUUAAAGGAUGCCUACCUGACAGUUUCUGUUAACGUCACCUCUCAGCACCUCCUGCAGUUUCGAUCAGCAGUGGCCUUUAAGUAUCUUCCUUUGGUCUCUCAUUGGCUCUUUGGUGUUUUACCAAGCUGCUAAGGCUGGUGGUCUCUUACCAGCCUUGAUACAGGCUAUUUUUCCAGGUCCCUUGCAGUAUCGGACCCUUCAACGCCUGAAGAUUGUGGAUCUACGUGACAGCACUUGGUGGUUCUUGAUCACGAAACGAAAGGACAAAGCUUGUUGGUGGAUCCACAAUAUGGACGCCUGUAAUAGACAGGGCCAUAUUCACAACUCAGUUGGAGUUUAUUAUAGAUUGGGAUACCAGUCUUUGUUAGGGUGCCCAUUGCGAAUGUCUUUCGACCAGAGGAACCUGGUCUUGUUCUUUUGUGCUGCAGAGUUUUUCCAGGUAUUGGGCAGGCACAUACAUUUGUCUUUGCGAGGGCAAAGCUUUGGCAGUCCACUAUUUCAACUACCUCAGAGGCACUCAUUCGUCAGUUUUGGCGAACCUGACGAUUGAUUUCUGUAAUUUUAGCUUGGAACUGAACAUCUUGGUUAAGGUGGAAUAUUUUCUUGGCCUCAGUAAACUUCACGUGGAUUUAAACUCAAGGUAUUUGUCGGAUAACAACUGGAGAUCAUGUUUUUUUUCUUCCAUGGUGUUUCUUUGGGGUCUCUUCCAGAUAGACCUCUUUAGGUGCAGACUCAACACUCAAUUGCCCUGGUUGUUCAUGUGGCGUCCAGAGGCUGAGGCAGUGAAUGCAUUCUUGCAGGAAUGAAACAGAAGUCCAUUGUCACGGUGCCUGAUCAGCACCUCAGUGUGACCGCACCAGUGCCCGAUCUUAUCUCCAGAGCCUCUCCCUCCAUGCAUUCUUUAAUACAGCAGCCGGAUCCAGUGUUAGGAAGGAAGCCAGCUGCUGCAAGGCGGUGCUAUAUAAUAACGUCGCUUUCAAUGACGUCACUAGUGACGUGAACGUGCAGUGUCACGUUUUCGCCGUGCACGCACGUUCUGGGGUCAUGGCACCCAAAUCAGCCAAUAGCAGGGUUUACUGGGUUAUUUAAACCCAAACCUGCAGUUGUUCAGUGCCCUGUCGUGGUUUCCAUCCAGUUGGUUAUCCGAGAGCGCGUUCCUGAUUCUGUUUAUUGGUUUUUAAUCUUGGCUUGACUUCCCGAAUUUCUGGUAACACUGACCCUUUGGCUUUGUUCUUACCAUAUUUGUUCCUUUCUGUAUUCCUGACCUCGGCUUGUGACUGUUUAUUCUAUUACGUUAAUUCCGGCCAUUCUAAGGCCUGAUAAUACGUUGUUACUGUUUUUCUUUGUUACGCGUUUUACUUAAUUCUGCGUGUUGGGCCACUGGUAUUGACAUUACGGCAAGGCCAUGGACCCUGCAGAGUUAAGUCAACACAUGUUGGCUUGCGAAAGAAGGCUGGAAGAUAAUGAUCACAGUAUGGAUCAAUUCGCCCA